UAGGGAAUCUUCCGCAAUGGACGCAAGUCUGACGGAGCAACGCCGCGUGAGUGAAGAAGGAUUUCGGUUCGUAAAACUCUGUUGUUAGAGAAGAACAGCGCAUAGAGUAACUGUUAUGCGUGUGACGGUAUCUAACCAGAAAGCCACGGCUAACUACGUGCCAGCAGCCGCGGUAAUACGUAGGUGGCAAGCGUUGUCCGGAUUUAUUGGGCGUAAAGCGAGCGCAGGCGGUCAAUUAAGUCUGAUGUGAAAGCCCCCGGCUCAACCGGGGAGGGUCAUUGGAAACUGGUUGACUUGAGUGCAGAAGAGGAGAGUGGAAUUCCAUGUGUAGCGGUGAAAUGCGUAGAUAUAUGGAGGAACACCAGUGGCGAAGGCGACUCUCUGGUCUGUAACUGACGCUGAGGCUCGAAAGCGUGGGUAGCAAACGGG
rnacentral:rRNA from 1 species